rnacentral:lncRNA from 1 species
UAUAACAAGAAUGUACUUGGAGAAUUGUUGGCAGGAAAUCUGGCCAGGCAUUUGGGAGGUUGAGACAAGAGGAUUGCUGCAAAUUCAAGGACAGUCUGAGCCAUGCUUUAGAAAUGAUGGGUUCAUAUCCUGAACUUCUGUCAGCUUGAGUAGAUUCCAGCUUCCUUAGUCUCUGAGGUGAUCAUUCAUUAACCUGGAGUUUUGGAUUUAAGUAAGUGUGAAAUAAAAAUAAGUGUUGUGCUAACCUUAUACUUUGGGAAGUUUAACUGUUGUAGUGUCC